rnacentral:lncRNA from 1 species
UAACUUUGCAACUUUGAAAUUAUUAUACACCCAUCCUCCACUUUGUAUAUAUUUACUCAUUUAUCUCCUGCAAUAAUCCACUCACCAGAGCCAGCGAGAGGCAUUGCGGAAUCAUGAGUCAACCUCUAUUAAUUACUUUCACCGUUUCGUCCAAGUAAUCUCUUUCUAUAUCUCCAUCUGUUCUAUAUAUAAGCUUUUCUCAAUUUAUCAUUCAUCUGAAAUCGUCCGAUCAUCGAUUACAAGAGGUUAGUUCUUUUAAAAAAAAUUCUAGCUAAAACCACUGUCUAAUUGUCCGUUCUUACAUGAAUUUUCGUCUGAUUAUGCGAUUUUUCCGAUUAAUUAUUAUUAUUAUUAUUAUUAUUAUUAUUAUUAUUAUUAUUAUUAUUUUGGUUAAACCUCUCUGGUUUGCUUAUUCUUCCUUUUCCGAUUGAAGGUUGUUAGCCUGAUUUUUCUCGAGCCUACAUCCGAUUAUCGUAAUGUUAUAAAAAAUUUCUACCGGUUAAUCAAUUGUUGUUUUCCGUUUUAUUCUUUUAAAUUUGAACUGCGUCAUAUUUUACCGAUAUUGGUGUCAUAUUUUACCGAUAUUGUUGGAGAUGUUCUGUCACUACGCUAUUCGUUGGUAUUUUUCCCUUCUAUAAAUGAUCUGUGUUGUUUAUGGGUAUGUGCAUUUGCUCCAAUAAAAUGCCUUAUUAUUU